UGAUGACUUUGCAGCCCCUGCCUGAAAAACAGUAGCGCAUUUGGAUAGUGGUCGAUCUGAGAACAAUGAGACGGGCCCGCACGUGCACGUGAAGAGUCCAUUUUGCAUUUUCAGUCUUUGAACGAAAACAACGACUCCCGGUCGGAAUAUUAUCGCUAUUUUACGAGAAAAAUCGCAUAAAAAUUGAUUUUAAACAGCGUUUGACAUGCUUCGAAGUACGGUAAUGGAAUAUUUUGAACUUUUUUGUCACGAUACGCGUCCGCGCGUCACCCUUCGUUACCCUUCGGAUAGUGUCUUGAAUGCACGAACAAAACGCCACUAUUUGGAUAUAACUAUGGAUUAUUUGGAACCAAACCAACAUUUGUUGUUGAAGUAGAAGUCCUGGGAGUGCAUUCUGACAAAGAACAGCAAAGGACCUGAGCCCUAGGACCAUGCCUCAGGACUACCUGGCUUGAUGACUCCUUGCUGUCCCCAGUUCACCUGGCCGUGCUGCUGCUCCAGCUCCAACUGCUCUGCCUGCAGCUAUGGAAACCUGACCUGUUGACCGGACGUGCUACCUGUCCCAGACCUGCUGUUUUCAACUCUCUAGAGACAGCAGGAGUGGUAGAGAUACUCUCAAAGAUCGGCUAUGAAAAAGCCUACUGACACUUACUCUUGUGUUACUGACUUGUUGCACCAUCGACAACUACUAUGAUUAUUAUUAUUUGACCAUGCUGGUCAUAUAUGAACAUUUGAACAUCUUGGCCAUGUGCUGUUAUAAUCUCCACCCGGCACAGCCAGAAGAGGACUGGCCACCCCUCAUAGCCUGGUUCCUCUCUAGGUUUCUUCCUAGGUUUUGGCAUUUCUAGGGAGUUUUUCCUAGCCACCGUGCUUCUACACCUGCAUUGCUUGCUGUUUGGGGUUUUAGGCUGGGUUUCUGUACAGCACUUAGAUAUAUCAGCUGAUUUAAGAAGGGCUAUAUAAAUACAUUUGAUUUGAUUUUGAUGAUAGGAGAAAACAACAACAAUACUAACAUAAAUGAGUGAAAAGAAGGAAGCUUGUACAGAAUAAAAACAUUUAAAAACAUGCAUUCUGCUUGUAAUAAGGCACUAAAGUAAAACUGCAAAGAAAAUUGGCAAAGAAAUGUCCCGAAAACAAAGCGUUCAAAUCCAACACAACACAUCACUGUGUGCCACUCUUUAUGUUUUCAAGCAUGGUGGUGGCUACAUCAUGUUAUGGGUAUGCUUAUGAGUGUUUUCUCAAGGCUGUAAACAUCUUGAUUCUAUGUUUAGCGGAGAUCUUCUGUGUAUAAAGUGACAAGUAAGGGCAAAAAAGCAUCUGAUGACGCACUUAGCCGUUCUGAUAAAUAACAAGCAUUUUCAAGUGCAUUAACAGUGGUUUUGGGAAAAAGCUCAGAGAUUUAACAAUGCUCCUACGAAGGUUCUAACAAACCUUAAGAUGCUUUUGGGAAACUGGGCCCUGUUAAGAUCUAUCCUUAUUUCAUUGUCUUGCUGCUGGAUCAUUUGGAUUUUUGCUUAUUAUUUUGGAUUUCUUGCUUUUGGAACAAACCAUGUACUUUAAUUGGAGGACAAAGACAUUUACUCGACUAAAACAAAAACUUGAUUUAGCAUUUUCAUUUGUGAUUCAGAGGCUGAUGCUAUACAUUUGAGUUGAUUUUGGGGGUAUUUUGGUUUGCUUAGAUUCUGUAUGUCAGCUGAUUCAAUUGUGAAUAGACAAAAUUGUUUCCAUGAUAUUCGUGACUUACAUUAUAUUUCUAUAAACAAUGCUGCUUUAUAUGUUUUCAUACACUACAAUACUCAUCUCAUAUGUAUAUACUGUACUCCAUACCAUCUACUACAUCUUGCCUAUGCGUUCGGCCAUCACUCAUUUAUAUAUUUUUAUGUACAUAUUCGUAUUCAUUCCUUUACACUUGUGUGUACAAGGUAGUUGUUGUGGAAUUGGUAGAUUACUUGUUAGAUAUUAAUGCAUGGUCGGAACUAGAAGCAUAAGCAUUUCGCUACACUUGCAUUAACACCUGCUAACCAUGUGUAUGUGACAAAUAAAUUUGAUUUGAUUUGAUUUAUUAGCGGCAUUGGGUUUA
rnacentral:lncRNA from 1 species